rnacentral:rRNA from 1 species
GACGAACGCUGGCGGCGUGCUUAACACAUGCAAGUCGAACGGAAAGGCCCUGCUUUUGUGGGGUGCUCGAGUGGCGAACGGGUGAGUAACACGUGAGUAACCUGCCCUUGACUUUGGGAUAACUUCAGGAAACUGGGGCUAAUACCGGAUAGGAGCUCCUGCUGCAUGGUGGGGGUUGGAAAGUUUCGGCGGUUGGGGAUGGACUCGCGGCUUAUCAGCUUGUUGGUGGGGUAGUGGCUUACCAAGGCUUUGACGGGUAGCCGGCCUGAGAGGGUGACCGGCCACAUUGGGACUGAGAUACGGCCCAGACUCCUAAGGGAGGCAGCAGUGGGGAAUAUUGCACAAUGGGCGGAAGCCUGAUGCAGCAACGCCGCGUGCGGGAUGACGGCCUUCGGGUUGUAAACCGCUUUCGCCUGUGACGAAGCGUGAGUGACGGUAAUGGGUAAAGAAGCACCGGCUAACUACGUG